GACGAACGCUGGCGGCGUGCUUAACACAUGCAAGUCGAACGCUGAAGCUUGGUGCUUGCACUGGGUGGAUGAGUGGCGAACGGGUGAGUAAUACGUGAGUAACCUGCCCUUGACUCUGGGAUAAGCCUGGGAAACUGGGUCUAAUACUGGAUACGACAUGCCACUGCAUGGUGGUGUGUGGAAAGGGUUUUACUGGUUUUGGAUGGGCUCACGGCCUAUCAGCUUGUUGGUGGGGUAAUGGCCUACCAAGGCGACGACGGGUAGCCGGCCUGAGAGGGCGACCGGCCACACUGGGACUGAGACACGGCCCAGACUCCUACGGGAGGCAGCAGUGGGGAAUAUUGCACAAUGGGCGGAAGCCUGAUGCAGCGACGCCGCGUGAGGGAUGACGGCCUUCGGGUUGUAAACCUCUUUCAGCACGGAAGAAGCGAGAGUGACGGUACGUGCAGAAGAAGCGCCGGCUAACUACGUG
rnacentral:rRNA from 1 species